rnacentral:rRNA from 1 species
GGGUUGUGAGGUUAAGCGAAUAAGCGUACACGGUGGAUGCCUAGGCAAUCAGAGGCGAUGAAGGACGUGCUAAUCUGCGAAAAGCGUCGGUAAGGUGAUAUGAACCGUUAUACCCGACGAUAUCCGAAUGGGGAAACCCAGUAUCCAAUGGAUACUAUCAUUAACUGAAUCCAUAGGUUAAUGAGGCGAACCGGGAGAACUGAAACAUCUCAGUACCCCGAGGAAAAGAAAUCAACCGAGAUUCCCCUAGUAGCGGCGAGCGAACGGGGAGCAGCCCAGAGUCUUAAUCAAUAGCAGUGUCAGGAGAACGGUCUGGAAAGUCCGGCAGUAAAGGGUGAUAGCCCCGUAUCUGAAGAUGCUGUUGUUGUGAACUCGACGAGUAGGGCGGGACACGUGUUAUCCUGUCUGAAUAUGGGGGGACCAUCCUCCAAGGCUAAAUACUCCUGAUUGACCGAUAGUGAACCAGUACCGUGAGGGAAAGGCGAAAAGAACCCCGGCGAGGGGAGUGAAAAAGAACCUGAAACCGUGUACGUACAAGCAGUAGGAGCCUCUUUAUGGGGUGACUGCGUACCUUUUGUAUAAUGGGUCAGCGACUUAUAUUCUGUAGCAAGGUUAACCGUAUAGGGGAGCCGUAGGGAAACCGAGUCUUAACUGGGCGAAUGAGUUGCAGGGUAUAGACCCGAAACCCGGUGAUCUAUCCAUGGGCAGGUUGAAGGUUGGGUAACACUAACUGGAGGACCGAACCGACUAAUGUUGAAAAAUUAGCGGAUGACUUGUGGAUGGGGGUGAAAGGCCAAUCAAACCGGGAGAUAGCUGGUUCUCCCCGAAAGCUAUUUAGGUAGCGCCUCGUGAAUUCAUCUUCGGGGGUAGAGCACUGUUUCGACUAGGGGGUCAUCCCGACUUACCAACUCGAUGCAAACUGCGAAUACCGAAGAAUGUUAUCACGGGAGACACACGGCGGGUGCUAACGUCCGUCGUGAAGAGGGAAACAACCCAGACCGCCAGCUAAGGUCCCAAAGUCAUGGUUAAGUGGGAAACGAAGUGGGAAGGCUCAGACAGCCAGGAUGUUGGCUUAGAAGCAGCCAUCAUUUAAAGAAAGCGUAAUAGCUCACUGGUCGAGUCGGCCCGCGCGGAAGAUGUAACGGGGCUAAACCAUGCACCGAAGCUGCGGCAGCGACACAAAGUGUUGUUGGGUAGGGGAGCGUUCUGUAAGCCUGCGAAGGUGUACUGUGAGGUAUGCUGGAGGUAUCAGAAGUGCGAAUGCUGACAUAAGUAACGAUAAUGCGGGUGAAAAACCCGCACGCCGGAAGACCAAGGGUUCCUGUCCAACGUUAAUCGGGGCAGGGUGAGUCGACCCCUAAGGCGAGGCUGAAAAGCGUAGUCGAUGGGAAACGGGUUAAUAUUCCCGUACUGGUGGUAACUGCGAUGGGGGAACGGAGAAGGCUAGGUUGUCCGGGCGACGGUCGUCCCGGUUCAAGCAGGUAGGCAGAGUGAUUAGGCAAAUCCGGUCACUUAAUGCUGAGAUGUGAUGACGAACCACCAAGGUGGUGAAGCAAUUGAUGCCCCGCUUCCAGGAAAAGCCUCUAAGCUUCAGGUUACCAACAAUCGUACCCCAAACCGACACAGGUGGUCAGGUAGAGAAUACUCAGGCGCUUGAGAGAACUCGGGUGAAGGAACUAGGCAAAAUGGUGCCGUAACUUCGGGAGAAGGCACGCUGGCGGUAGGUAAAGUCCCUCGCGGACGGCGCUGAAGCCAGUCGAAGAUACCAGCUGGCUGCAACUGUUUAUUAAAAACACAGCACUGUGCAAACACGAAAGUGGACGUAUACGGUGUGACGCCUGCCCGGUGCUGGAAGGUUAAUUGAUGGGGUUAGCCGUAAGGCGAAGCUCCUGAUCGAAGCCCCAGUAAACGGCGGCCGUAACUAUAACGGUCCUAAGGUAGCGAAAUUCCUUGUCGGGUAAGUUCCGACCUGCACGAAUGGCGUAAUGAUGGCCAGGCUGUCUCCACCCGAGACUCAGUGAAAUUGAACUCGCUGUGAAGAUGCAGUGUACCCGCGGCAAGACGGAAAGACCCCGUGAACCUUUACUAUAGCUUGACACUGAACAUUGAGCCUUGAUGUGUAGGAUAGGUGGGAGGCUUUGAAGUGUGGACGCCAGUCUGCAUGGAGCCAACCUUGAAAUACCACCCUUUAACGUUUGAUGUUCUAACCUAGGCCCAUAAACUGGGUCGGGGACCGUGUCUGGUGGGUAGUUUGACUGGGGCGGUCUCCUCCUAAAGAGUAACGGAGGAGCACGAAGGUUGGCUAAGCAUGGUCGGACAUCAUGCGGUUAGUGCAAAGGCAUAAGCCAGCUUGACUGCGAGAGUGACGGCUCGAGCAGGUACGAAAGUAGGUCUUAGUGAUCCGGUGGUUCUGAAUGGAAGGGCCAUCGCUCAACGGAUAAAAGGUACUCCGGGGAUAACAGGCUGAUACCGCCCAAGAGUUCAUAUCGACGGCGGUGUUUGGCACCUCGAUGUCGGCUCAUCACAUCCUGGGGCUGAAGUAGGUCCCAAGGGUAUGGCUGUUCGCCAUUUAAAGUGGUACGCGAGCUGGGUUUAGAACGUCGUGAGACAGUUCGGUCCCUAUCUGCCGUGGGCGUUGGAAGAUUGAGAGGGGUUGCUCCUAGUACGAGAGGACCGGAGUGAACGCACCACUGGUGUUCGGGUUGUCAUGCCAAUGGCAUUGCCCGGUAGCUAAGUGCGGAAGAGAUAACCGCUGAAAGCAUCUAAGCGGGAAACUUGCCUCGAGAUGAGUCUUCCCUGUCGCUUUAAGUGACCUAAAGGAACGUUUAAGACUAAGACGUUGAUAGGCUGGGUGUGUAAGCGUAGCGAUACGUUGAGCUAACCAGUACUAAUGAACCGUGAGGCUUAACCUGACAACACCGAAAGUGUUUUG